GACCUCAUUUCAAAAAUAACCAAUUUUUUGCCUUAGCUGCAGUUCAUUGUUAACUUGCCAGUGAUUCCCUCAGCCAGCAGCCCUCGCCAUCGGCUUAGCAAGACGUGGACCCUCAUUUAGGACAACGCAGAUCUGAACCCUGACAAAAGUGAUGAUUGGCUUCCAUUCCAUCCUCGGCUUCCUGAACCCUCGGGGUGCUCUGUGAGUCAUGCCUCCAUUCUCUGUUCAUGCCCUCCUCUCUCAGAGUGGCCCUGUUUAGCCCAGAUCAAGCCUGUUAAUUCAUUUGAUGCUGGCAGUCAUGACUUCGCUGCACUGAAGAUGCCUCCAGAUUCAAAGCUCUACAGCACCACAGCUGUCACUAACGAGUCUGAUUUUUUGAGGGCAAACAAGCCAACGUGCUAGUGAUGCAACACUGACCUCACUCAUCUUGGGAGAAGCCAAGCUAUAAACAAUCCAUCCAACUACUAACCUACUUUGGACAACACCUUGGAAGUCAUUUGGAUCAAGUUUUGUACCAGGGCCACCCCUCGCCACCCCCAUCCUACCCACAACAACCAUGAAAGAUCUUUGCUGGUAUCUGGCCGCACAUGUACACGUGUCAACAUUUGCAAGAACUUCUAUUUUAAUUAACACUCAGACAACAUCUACUCUAGGAUUUUUAAAAAGAGCACAUUCUUUGCACGAUUUAAAUAAACCUUGUGGCACUCAAAAGGAAAGCCCAUUCCUCACGAAGAGGCACCAAAGAACGUCCUUGUUUUCUGCAAGGUUAUUUCAUACCAAAAUGUUCAAGGUUUACAAAGACAAGCUUUAGAAAAUAAAUGUAUCCAGUCAAAAUUA